AGUGAACGCUGGCGGUAGGCCUAACACAUGCAAGUCGAACGGCAGCACAGUAAGAGCUUGCUCUUACGGGUGGCGAGUGGCGGACGGGUGAGGAAUACAUCGGAAUCUACUUUUUCGUGGGGGAUAACGUAGGUAAACUUACUCUAAUACCGCAUACGACCUACGGUUGAAAGCAGGGGAUCUUCGCACCUUGCGCGAUUGAAUUAGCCGAUGUCGGAUUAGCUAGUUGGCGGGGUAAAGGCCCACCAAGGCGACGAUCCGUAGCUGGUGUGAGAGUAUGAUCAGCCACACUGGAACUGAGACACGGUCAAGACUCCUACGGGAGGCAGCAGUGGGGAAUAUUGGACAAUGGGCGCAAGCCUGAUCCAGCCAUACCGCGUGGGUGAAGAAGGCCUUCGGGUUGUAAAGCCCUUUUGUUGGGAAAGAAAAGCAGCAGGUUAAUACCCCGCUGUUCUGACGGUACCCAAAGAAUAAGCACCGGCUAACUUCGUG
rnacentral:rRNA from 1 species